AACGAACGCUGGCGGCAGGCUUAACACAUGCAAGUCGAACGCAUCCUUCGGGGUGAGUGGCAGACGGGUGAGUAACGCGUGGGAACGUGCCCUUCAGUUCGGGAUAACCCAGGGAAACUUGGGCUAAUACCGGAUACGUGCGAGAGCAGAAAGAUUUAUCGCUGAAGGAUCGGCCCGCGUCUGAUUAGCUAGUUGGUGGGGUAAUGGCCCACCAAGGCGACGAUCAGUAGCUGGCCUGAGAGGAUGAUCAGCCACACUGGGACUGAGACACGGCCCAAACUCCUACGGGAGGCAGCAGUGGGGAAUAUUGGACAAUGGGCGCAAGCCUGAUCCAGCCAUGCCGCGUGAGUGAUGAAGGCCUUAGGGUUGUAAAGCUCUUUCGUCCGGGACGAUAAUGACGGUACCGGAAGAAGAAGCCCCGGCUAACUUCGUGCCAGCCGCCGCUGUAA
rnacentral:rRNA from 1 species